UGUCUUUGAAAAUAGUUUUUAUCUGCAGGAGUGAUCAAAUGGGCUUAGAAAUUCUACCAUCUGCCAAUAAUUUUUAUAACCUAACUCAAUCAGUUGUAAAGAAUAUUAAGAAGACAAAAGAAAAAAACCAAAACAGAAUACAUCAAAAGAGAGAACAUGGUUCGUUCUUCAAUUACUAAGAAAGGUAUAAAAAAAA